AACGCACCUUGCGCUCCUUGGUAUUCCGAGGAGCAUGCCUGUUUGAGUGUCUCGAAGUCAUCGACCCGUCCCGUUUCGCGCGGGGCCCCUCGGGUUGGAGCUGGGGGCAUGCUGCCGACAAGGCCGCUCCCCUCAAAUGCGUCGGUCGGGCCUGUGGGUCGGACUCGCCAGGGCGUUGUACCAUCCUCGCUCCCCGCGUGUCCGUCCCGCUCCUUUCGGAGCCUCGGCCCGCACGCCGUCGCGGUCGCGGCCAACAUUGUUUGAAAUCUGACCUCAAAUCAGGUAGGACUACCCGCUGAACUUAA
rnacentral:misc_RNA from 1 species